GAGUUUGAUCGUGGCUCAGGAUGAACGCUAGCUACAGGCUUAACACAUGCAAGUCGAGGGGCAGCAUGGACCCAGCUUUGCUGGGUUUGAUGGCGACCGGCGCACGGGUGAGUAACGCGUAUCCAACCUGCCCUUUACUCCGGGAUAGUCUCCUGAAAGGGAGUUUAAUACCGGAUGUGUUUGUCUUUCCGCAUGGGAGCGACAAAUAAAGAUUAAUUGGUAAAGGAUGGGGAUGCGUCCCAUUAGCUUGUUGGCGGGGUAACGGCCCACCAAGGCGACGAUGGGUAGGGUUCUGAGAGGAAGGUCCCCCAAUUGGAACUGAGACACGGUCCAAACUCCUACGGGAGCAGCAGUGAGGAAUAUUGGUCAAGUGGGCGGAGCCUGAACCAGCCAAGUAGCGUGAAGGACGACGG
rnacentral:rRNA from 1 species